rnacentral:rRNA from 1 species
ACGGGGUGCAGCAGGCGCGAAACUUCCGCAAUGCGCGAAAGCGUGACGGGGGUAGUCUGAGUGCUAUCCGAAAGGAUAGCUUUUGCCAGCCUUGACUAAGCUGGCGAAUAAGGGGUGGGUAAAUCUCGUGCCAGCCGCCGCGGUAACACGAGUAGCCCGAGUGGUGUCCACGAAUAUUGAGCUUAAAGCGUUCGUAGCCGGUUUGGAUAGUUUUCUGUGAAAUCUCUCGACUCAAUCGAGAGGCUUGCAGGAAAUACUGCCAGACUCGAGAGUGGGGGAGGUCAAGGGUACUGUAGGGGGAGGAGUAAAAUCCUGUAAUCCUUGCAGGACCAUCAGUGGCGAAGGCGCUUGACCAAAACACGUCUGACGGUGAGGAACGAAGGCUAGGGGAGCGAACGGGAUUAGAUACCCCGGUAGUCCUAGCAGUAAAUGAUGCAGACUGGGCGUUGCAUUAACCUCGAGUUAAUGCAGUGCCGGAGGGAAACCGGUUAGUCUGCCGCUUGGGGAGUACGGUCGCAAGACUGAAACUUAAAGGAAUUGGCGGG